rnacentral:rRNA from 1 species
UACGUAGGGCGCAAGCGUUGUCCGGAAUUAUUGGGCGUAAAGAGCGUGUAGGCGGCCAGGUAGGUCUGGUGUGAAAACUCGAGGCUCAACCUCGAGAGGUCAUCGGAAACCAUUUGGCUAGAGUCCGGAAGAGGGAAGUGGAAUUUCCGGUGUAGCGGUGAAAUGCGUAGAUAUCGGAAGGAACAUCAGUGGCGAAAGCGACUUCCUGGUCCAGCAUCGACGUUCAGCACGAAAGCGUGGGGAGCAAACAGG